CUGCGACCUCAGCAUGGCGAUUCUAUCUCUAUUCUACCAAGAAACGACAAAGCUCUUUCUUUCCCACUCGACAUGUCUUCUACCCGAGCAUGGCGCGAGCUGUAGACUCGCGUUUCUAUCAAGAGAAAGACUUUCCAUAGCAACGGAUAAGUAGCUAGUGAUGGGUCGUUCUGCGAUAAAUUUACGUUUAGUUAGCCAAAAAAAUGUGUCAAUGCACUAUUUUUCACGCAUGAACCUAUACAUAAACUCACGUAACUCAAAGCAACAACAAAACGUAUACAUCGAACUUAUUUCUUAUCUGUGGAACUAAAAUGGUUCAUGUUGUUUGUUUACAAAAAACGAUUAUUGUUGUUGAUUUUACUUAAUUAAAUAAACAUAUUGGUGAAUACUGCGACAAGAAAAAACGUACGAAGUCCCAUCCAAUAAGCAGAGAAGAUGGAAUCGCGAUCCAUUGGGUAACGAAGGCCACGAUAAAUAAGAAUGGGUCCGUAUUCAAAAGCGACUGAAAAAAUAUGGAAAAAGAACCGAGUUCUUGGCAUACAAUGCUGACACGAGAAAUAUUCUAUUAAUUACAAAAAAAGGAUGCUAAAUGACAGCUGAGCCUUCAGUUUACAAAUUAUAAAUUAUUGAAAUUAUAUUAUUUAAUAAAGAAUGUGAAUAUUAAAAUCAUAA